CAAGUACUCCCUCCGUCCGGAAUUACUUGUCAUCAAAAUGGAUGUGUCUAGAACUAAAAUACAUCUAGAUACAUCCAUUUCAAUGACAAGCAUUUUCGGACGGAGGGAGUACAAG
rfam:Triticum aestivum genome assembly, contig: Triticum_aestivum_CS42_TGACv1_scaffold_328172_4BS